CGUGUAGCCGGGUCGGCAAGUCAGAUGUGAAAUCUAUGGGCUCAACUCAUAAACUGCAUUUGAAACUGUUGAUCUUGAGUAUCGGAGAGGCAAUCGGAAUUCCUAGUGUAGCGGUGAAAUGCGUAGAGAUCUGGAGGAAUACCGAUUGCGAAGGCAGCCCCCUGGACAGUGACUGACGCUCAUAUGCGAAAGCGUGGGGAUCAAACAGGAUUAGAUACCCGCGUA
rnacentral:rRNA from 1 species